rnacentral:lncRNA from 10 species
CCAAAGCAAAGAUACCUCAAAUUAGUCUGUGAUGAAAUUUAUAACAUCAAAGUAGAAAAAAAGGUGUCUGUGCUAUUUCUGUACAGCUAUAGAGAUGACUACUACAGAAUCUUAUUUUAACCCUAAAGAACUGUCGUUAACCUCAUUCAAACAGACAGAGGCUUAUACUGGAAUAAUGGAAUGUUGUACAUUCAUCAUAAUUUAAAAUUAAAUUCUAAGAAGAGGCUGGGUGCAGUGGCUCACACCUUUAAUCCCAGCACUUUGGGAAGCCAAGGCAGGAAGACUGCUUGAAACCAGGAGUUUGAGACCAGCCUGAGCAACAAAGCAAGACCCCAUCUCUAUAAAAACUAAAAAAAUUAGUUGGGCAUGGUGGCACAUGCCUGUAGUCCCAGCUACUCCAGAGGCUGAGAUGGAUCAUCUGAGCCUCAGGAGGUUGAGGCUGCAGUGAGCUGUGACUGCGCCACUGCACUCCAGUCUGGGACAACAGAGCAAGACCCUGUCUUAAAAAAAAAAAGAAAAAAAAAAUUUUUUUCUAAGAAGCUGUCCUACAAAGUUGAGCUUUGUUAGUUUUUCAUGUGUAAUAUAUUAUAAAUUUAUCUUUUGGGAUAUAAUAAAUGCUUUCAUAU